CGACUUUCGAACGCAUAUUGCAGCCAUUGGAUAGCCGAUGGCUUCGUUUGUCUGAGCGUCGUUAUCAAAUUAUGACCAAACAAAAUGGGAUAGAUCUGUUUCGUCGUGCAAACGUCGUCGGAUCAUUUCCAAACAUUUGAUAUGCUGACUUUUGUGGUGAAGAAGGCUUUGUUGCACAUUCACUCACAAGAGGUAUUUAGCGUUUCCAGCUAAACACCUUGAAUGUGUGCCUUGUAUAACCAGUCAAAAUGGUUGACAAAUCAAUGUACCAAUCGUCUAAUUUCGACCUCAGAUCAAGCGAGAUUACCCCCUGAAUUUAAGC
rnacentral:rRNA from 1 species